GGGGGCGUCAGGUUUCGACGGGGGAAGCGGUGACAGGAGGAGCGAGCCGGGGAGGCUACCUGCCCGUAAAAACGGUGGCAAGGCAAUAAAGGCCAACAAACACGAAUACGCCCUGGCUGCUUAAGCCAGCCAGCAUUCUGCCGGCUGAGGCCCGUGCGGCCGGAUAGGGUGUCACACUAACGGGCUUGCCUAAAGGACCAAUUCUCGGCGGUCCUUGGGGAGAUCUAUCGAGAUAGCACUGGGGGAGCCUGGCUGCGGGCGCCCACGGUGCGAAAACCAAAACACAGCCUGCGCUCGGAGAAUCUCCUGUGGUCACUCCUUCGGACGGGGGUUCGAUUCCCCCCGCCUCCACCA
rnacentral:tmRNA from 1 species